rnacentral:rRNA from 1 species
UACGUAGGGGGCAAGCGUUGUCCGGAAUCAUUGGGCGUAAAGAGCGCGUAGGCGGUCCGGUAAGUCCGCUCUGAAAGUCCGGGGCUCAACCCCGGGAGGCGGGCGGAUACUGUCGGGCUAGAGUCCGGAAGAGGCGAGUGGAAUUCCUGGUGUAGCGGUGAAAUGCGCAGAUAUCAGGAGGAACACCAAUGGCGAAGGCAGCUCGCUGGGACGGUACUGACGCUGAGGCGCGAAAGCGUGGAGAGCAAACAGG